UAGAGUUUGAUCAUGGCUCAGAUUGAACGCUGGCGGCAGGCCUUACACAUGCAAGUCGAGCGGAAACGCGAAGUGUUUACACUUUGGCGUCGAGCGGCGGACGGGUGAGUAAUGCCUAGGAAGUUGCCCAGUAGUUUGGGAUACCUAUUGGAAACGAUGGUUAAUACCGGAUACCUUUGUCUUUAUUGGUAAGGAAAGGGGGGGACCUUAUGGCCUCUUGCUACUGGAUACGCCUAGGUGAGAUUAGCUAGUUGGUGAGGUAAUGGCUCACCAAGGCGACGAUCUCUAGCUGGUCUGAGAGGAUGAUCAGCCACACUGGGACUGAGACACGGCCCAGACUCCUACGGGAGGCAGCAGUGGGGAAUAUUGCACAAUGGGCGAAAGCCUGAUGCAGCCAUGCCGCGUGUGUGAAGAAGGCCUUCGGGUUGUAAAGCACUUUCAUUGGCGAGGAAGGAUUUAUGGUUAAUACCUGUAGAUUUUGACGUUAACCAAAGAAGAAGCACCGGCUAACUCCGUGCCAGCAGCCGCGGUAAUACGGAGGGUGCGAGCGUUAAUCGGAAUUACUGGGCGUAAAGCGCAUGCAGGUGGAUAGAUAAGUCAGAUGUGAAAGCCCGGGGCUUAACUCCGGAAAGUCAUUUGAAACUGUUUAUCUAGAGUACUGUAGAGGGGGGUAGAAUUUCA
rnacentral:rRNA from 1 species